rnacentral:rRNA from 1 species
GUGCAGCAGUCGCGAAACCUCCGCAAUACACGAAAGUGUGACGGGGCCAUCCCGAGUGCCGUCCGCUGAGGAUGGCUUUCCCAGUGUACAUAGCUGGGGGAAUAAGGAGAGGGCAAGCCUGGUGUCAGCCGCCGCGGUAAUACCAGCUCUCCGAGUGGUGGGGACGCUUAUUGGGCCUAAAGCAUCCGUAGCCGGCUGGGCAAGUCCUCCGUUAAAUCCAACGAUUCAAUCGUUGGACUGCGGGGGAUACUGUCCAGCUUGGGGGCGGGAGAGGCCGACGGUAUUCCCGGGGUAGGGUGAAAUCCUAUAAUCCCGGGAGGACCACCAGUGGCGAAGGCUGUCGGCUAGAACGCGCCCGACGGUGAGGGAUGAAAGCGUGGGGGAGCGAACCGGAUUAGAUACCCCUGUAGU